rnacentral:rRNA from 1 species
GACGAACGCUGGUGGCGUGCCUAAUACAUGCAAGUCGAGCGGACCAAUAGAAGCUUGCUUCUGUUGGUUAGCGGCGGACGGGUGAGUAACACGUGGGCAACCUGCCUGUAAGACUGGGAUAACUUCGGGAAACCGGAGCUAAUACCGGAUAAUUCAUCCCCUCGCAUGAGGGGAUGCUGAAAGUCGGUUUACGCUGACACUUACAGAUGGGCCCGCGGCGCAUUAGCUAGUUGGUGAGGUAAUGGCUCACCAAGGCGACGAUGCGUAGCCGGCCUGAGAGGGUGAGCGGCCACACUGGGACUGAGACACGGCCCAGACUCCUACGGGAGGCAGCAGUAGGGAAUCUUCCACAAUGGACGAAAGUCUGAUGGAGCAACGCCGCGUGAGCGAUGAAGGCCUUCGGGUCGUAAAGCUCUGUUGUUAGGGAAGAACAAGUAUCGGAGUAACUGCCGGUACCUUGACGGUACCUAACCAGAAAGCCACGGCUAACUACGUGCCAGCAGCCGCCGUAA